AGUUUGAUCAUGGCUCAGAACGAACGCUGGCGGCAUGCCUAACACAUGCAAGUCGAACGAGAUCCUUCGGGGGUCUAGUGGCGGACGGGUGAGUAACGCGUGGGGACCUGCCCAGGGGUACGGAAUAACUACGGGAAACUGUAGCUAAUACCGUAUGAUGCCGAAAGGCCAAAGAUUUAUCGCCCUUGGAUGGACCCGCGUUGGAUUAGCUAGUUGGUGAGGUAAUGGCUCACCAAGGCGACGAUCCAUAGCUGGUUUGAGAAGAUGAUCAGCCACACUGGGACUGAGACACGGCCCAGACUCCUACGGGAGGCAGCAGUGGGGAAUAUUGGACAAUGGGGGCAACCCUGAUCCAGCAAUGCCGCGUGAGUGAAGAAGGCCUUAGGGUUGUAAAGCUCUUUCAGAUGGGAAGAUAAUGACGGUACCAUCAGAAGAAGCCCCGGCUAACUCCGUG
rnacentral:rRNA from 1 species